UAGACCAGGCUCUUGCCACAGCUCUGCCUCCAGCUGUGCAAAUCCCUUACUUGGCAGUAGGCCUGUGCAUGUCCUCAUCUGUAAGGUUAGGCACAGAAAAAGGGGGUACACCAAAAGACUAGCCAAGUAGGUCUCGCCCACCUCAAAUAGAGCAGGUCUGAGUCAAUCUUUUAUUACAAAGUAGGUCUGUACAUAAGUUUUCACUUUUAUCGUAAAGACAAUGUGCAUUCGGAAACUGGCAUAGAUAGAUAGAUACAUAAAAUAGAUAGAGAGACAGGGGCUAUUCCUCCUGAAUUUCACCAAUUAGCCAGUUCCCACUGAUGCUGAAGGUCAAAGGCAGCCACUCCAGUCCCCAGGCAGCCCGACACCCUGCAGAGCAGGGCGGACAAACUGCUGGUCGCCCAGGCCAAGAGCAUGGUGGGAGCUUCGCCAGCUUCUGAAAGGGCAAACGAGGCAAGAACAGAAGGGCUCUUUCUCCAUCGGACUGUUUACAACACCAGGGGUGUAAAAUCAUCCUCCAGGAAGUAUCUGUGGCUUUGCCUUCUCUGUACGUAACUUCUGGUCAGUAAAUGACCGAUCAACCAAGCUGGCACUGACAUCACAGCGAGCCGGCCGUGGAUGCAGCAACAGGAGGGAAGGAAGCCAGCGAGCCUCUUCCACCAUUGCACCGGUGGGAGAUGGAGGGCACCAACUCAUUGCUGUGAUUUGUAGGCAUAUCCCAAUGGUUUCAACACCAUGGGGAGGCCAGGCGUAGGGGAAAAUGGAGCUCUGAGGAAGGAGAAGGUCAGAUAGUCCAAACGGUCAAAGAAGGGUCACCCAGGGGCCAAACUCUGAGCCAGGUAAGGAAAAAUGACCAGGGUCCAACAGUCAGGUAAAGGACAUAAGAGUCGGGACUUCCCUGGUGGUCCAGUGGUAAAGAAUCUGCCUUCCAAUGCAGGGGACAUGGGUUCGAUCCCUGGUCAGGGAACUAAGACUCCACAAGCCGCAGGGCAACCAAGCCCACGAGCCACAACUACUGAGCUCGCGUGCCUCAACGAGAGAGCCCGCGUGCCACAAACUACAGAGCCCACACACAACUAGAGAGAAGCCCGUGAGCCACAACGAAAAGAUCCCGCAGGCCACAAUGAAGACCCAAUGCGGCCAAAAAAGAAAAAAAGAAAAGGA